rnacentral:rRNA from 1 species
ACGAACGCUGGCGGCGUGCCUAAUACAUGCCAGUUGAGCGCUGAAGGUUGGUACUUGUACCAACUGGAUGAGCAGCGAACGGGUGAGUAACGCGUGGGGAAUCUGCCUUUGAGCGGGGGACAACAUUUGGAAACGAAUGCUAAUACCGCAUAAAAACUUUAAACACAAGUUUUAAGUUUGAAAGAUGCAAUUGCAUCACUCAAAGAUGAUCCCGCGUUGUAUUAGCUAGUUGGUGAGGUAAAGGCUCACCAAGGCGAUGAUACAUAGCCGACCUGAGAGGGUGAUCGGCCACAUUGGGACUGAGACACGGCCCAAACUCCUACGGGGGGCAGCAGUAGGGAAUCUUCGGCAAUGGACGAAAGUCUGACCGAGCAACGCCGCGUGAGUGAAGAAGGUUUUCGGAUCGUAAAACUCUGUUGGUAGAGAAGAACGUUGGUGAGAGUGGAAAGCUCAUCAAGUGACGGUAACUACCCAGAAAGGGACGGCUAACUACGUG